CUGUUCCCGUGCCGCCAGGCACCCCUCACCGCCGCCCUACUUGUCCUUCGGUCGUCGGUGCUCUGUUGGUUACUGGAUUUUGCUUAUCUGCCAGCAGACCGCACCGGAGGCCGCCGCCAUAUAGGGGCUGAUGAGGGCAUCGUGAUGAGGUUGCCGCUUUUGCCAUAGCAGAGGGGAUCCAGCCGGCACGCUGCGUCUCCCAUAAACAUGCCUAAUUUUAUAUGCAGAGGAAUGUAUCCAUGAACUGGGAAACCUGUGAACUCUUUGAUACGCCUUUUAUGUGUUGCUUUUGGUCUUGAUAGAGGUACUUGAGCCUCUUACAUGCUCUUGUGUGCAAUUUUUUAAUUCUAAAAUAGUACAUUCAAUUGAAGGCUAGAGAAGAUUUAGUGGUUAUAUCAUGAGUCACUACAAGCGCCUAUUUAUUGAAACAUUUUCCCAGUUGUUUCACUACAAGCGCCUAUUUAUUGAAACAUUUUCCCAGUUGUUUCACUACAAGCGCCUAUUUAUUGAAUCAUUUUCUUCAAACUUGCACCAGUAAAUAUUUGUAGCUCUUCACGUUGUCCAAUCAACAUGUUAGUU